rnacentral:rRNA from 1 species
UUUAAAUAAAGACCAGAACAAAAGAUUUAACGUUUUUAUUAUAUUUAUAUUUCAAUAAUUCAAACUUAUCUUAAAUGUAAAAAGACAUUUAUUUCAAAGAAAGACGACAAGACCCUAUUGAACUUAACUUAAGUUAAACUGGGGCAGUUAAUUAAUAAUUACUUUAAUUUUAGUAUCUAAAAAAAUAUCCAAUCCAAUUGACUACUAAUCAAGUUACCAUAGGGAUAACAGCGUAAUAAAUUUCUAAAGCUCUUAUUUAAAAAAAAGCUUACGACCUCGAUGUUGAAUUAAUAACCUAAUUAACGCAAAAGCUAAAAAAGGAAGUCUGUUCGACUUUUAAAAAAUUACAUGAUUUGAGUUCAGACCGGUGUAAGCCAGGUCGGUUUCUAUCUUCUAUUUAAUUCUUACAGUACGAAAGGGCCUAAGAAACUAAUUAAAUUAAUUAAUUGGCAGAAAAAUGCAUUAGAAUUAGAAUCUAAUAAACUAAUAAUCCCUUUCAUCUUCACAUAUCUAAUCAUCACUGUAAGU